rnacentral:rRNA from 1 species
CUUGGUGUUACUGCGAAGGGGGGACGGAGAAGGCUAUGUUAGCCGGGCGACGGUUGUCCCGGUUUAAGCAUGUAGGCUGGUUAUCCAGGCAAAUCCGGAUAAUCAAGGCUGAGGUGUGAUGACGAGGCACUACGGUGCUGAAGUAACAAAUGCCCUGCUUCCAGGAAAAGCCUCUAAGCAUCAGGUAACACGAAAUCGUACCCCAAACCGACACAGGUGGUCAGGUAGAGAAUACCAAGGCGCUUGAGAGAACUCGGGUGAAGGAACUAGGCAAAAUGGUGCCGUAACUUCGGGAGAAGGCACGCUGGUGUGUAGGUGA